rnacentral:rRNA from 1 species
UACGUAGGGGGCUAGCGUUGUCCGGAAUCAUUGGGCGUAAAGAGCUCGUAGGCGGUUCGGUAAGUCGGGUGUGAAACCUCCAGGCUCAACCUGGAGACGCCACCCGAUACUGCUGUGACUAGAGUCCGGUAGGGGAGCGUGGAAUUCCUGGUGUAGCGGUGAAAUGCGCAGAUAUCAGGAGGAACACCAGCGGCGAAGGCGGCGCUCUGGGCCGGAACUGACGCUGAGGAGCGAAAGCGUGGGGAGCAAACAGG